UACGUAGGGGGCAAGCGUUGUCCGGAAUCAUUGGGCGUAAAGAGCGUGUAGGCGGCCCGGUAAGUCCGCUGUGAAAGUCCAGGGCUCAACCCUGGGAUGCCGGUGGAUACUGUCGGGCUCGAGUCCGGAAGAGGAGUGUGGAAUUCCUGGUGUAGCGGUGAAAUCGCAGAUAUCAGGAGGAACACCUAAUGGCGAAGGAGCACCUCUGG
rnacentral:rRNA from 1 species